rnacentral:lncRNA from 1 species
UGGGGAGGAAACGCUGAGCGAGCGAUGAGGGUGGUUGUGAGGGGGGGCAGGAAGGGAGGAGCAGGCAGGGACGGGCUUCACAGUUAUAUACUCUCGGUCCCCACGGCAUCCGACCAGCACAGCCAUGGCCGAGGGCCAGAAACGACGGGGCUUCAAGAAAUUCAAGUUCUUCAAGUUCAAAGGCUUUGGGAGCCUGAGCAGCAUCCCCCGCUCCUUCACCUUACGGCGCAUCUCUGUGGUCCCCAGCUCCCCUGAGACUCUUGGGCCACAUCUCCCACCUCCCCAUGGCUUCCUGGGAGAGCCCUUUGACAGCACCCAGGAUGAUCUCAACACUGUGCCCAAGAGCCCUGGCCCUUAUGCCCAGUCAUCAAACAUGUACUCCCACAUGGGCACCAUGCCCAGGGUGAAUCUGGGCAAGGCAGGGAAGAGCCUGGGCAAAGACAAGAGUAGCCAGAACUGCUGGGAGAAAGGGACUCCCAACAACAAAACCCCCCAGACAGCCCUGCUCCUCGGCCUCAAGUGCCCUGAGAUAUCCAGCACUCCUGGCCCAGGCACAGACUCAUCCUCGGCUGCUGGACAAGCAGAGCAGGAGGAAGAAGCUGAACUCGGGGACACCCUGGAGGCAGCAACGGCCAGCACAGACCAGGAGCCUGUGGGAAAUGUCUCCUGCCCUAGGACAGAGGAACCGAGCUCCAGCCUGGCUCCAAACCCCAGCCCGGCUCCAAACCCCAGCCCAACCACAAACCCUGACACAGCAGCUGGAGCAGAGACCACUGAUGGGGAUCUGCUGGAAAAGGGACAAGAGCAUCCUGACACGACCUCCCCAGACAGGUAUAGCCCUUGAGGUUUGCUCUGCCUUCUGCUAAGACCCCCAUUUUGCCCCUCCAGAGCAAGAGGAGGGGGCUGGGACAAACCAGGGUCACUGCAAUGUCCCCCCGUGCCCACAGUGCCAGCGGGAUGCACCUGGCCGGUGGGACAGCACAGCUGGAGCAUGGUCAGGUCAGCGGCUCCAUGGGAACGAGGUUUCCUGUGGGAUUUCUGCUCCCUCCUGUUUCCGGACGGGGUGGAAACAUCUCGCCGCCCCGUUCUGCCCCGGCAUCUCUUUGUCCUGCGGCGGCUGCGUUCCAGCACCAGGAUGUGCUGCUGCGGAGAGCUCUCACCAGCACUGUUACAGCCUCCUGCGCCUCUCACUCUCCUCUUUUCCACCCCCUCUAUCCUCUACCCCUCUGUUGGGCAGUACUGCCUCUCCCAAGGCACACGGGCAAAUCCUGAAACCAGGCACUCUGUCCCCAUUUCAUCACCUGCCAGUAAACCCACUCUGGGCACAAACGCCCUCAUUCCAG